rnacentral:rRNA from 1 species
CCUACGGGUGGCAGCAGUGAGGAAUAUUGGUCAAUGGGCUUACGCCUGAACCAGCCAAGUCGCGUGAGUGAAGACUGCCCUAUGGGUUGUAAACCUCUUUUGUCAGGGAGCAAUUGGCGCUACGUGUAGCGUUAUCGAGAGUACCUGAAGAAAAAGCAUCGGCUAACUCCGUGCCAGCAGCCGCGGUAAUACGGGGGAUGCGAGCGUUUUCCGGAUUUAUUGGGUUUAAGGGGUGCGUAGGCGGAAUGCCAAGUCAGCGGUAAAAUCGCGGGGCUCAACCUCGCUGCGCCGUUGAAACUGGCGUUAUUGGGGGGGCGAGAAGUAUGCGGAAAGCGUGGGGGAGCGGUGAGAUGGAGA